UUCAUAAACCGGCAUGUAGAAGCAAAAAGGGUUUAGCGGCGACUGCAUUGUUGCCGCUUUCCCGUGCCCACUGAAAGUGGCCGGACGAAGGCAGCUGGUUAAGUAGAGCCAGAAGGGAGAUGCCGCUCCUGGCGGCUGUGAAUCCGUGUGCAAAGGUACGAAGAUGGCGCCUUGGAUUACUUGCUGGCCCCGAAGAUCUUGACUUGCGUCAGAUAGCAGGACUGGCAGCGGUGUCGGUGAGUCAUUAAAGAUGAGCACUGGUGAAACCACACAUGCGCAGGUCGAGGGAUACAGCCAUGCUCCAAGAAGCGCGAUGAACUGCAUGUAGAAGCAAAAAGGGUUUAGCGGCGACUGCAUGGUUGCCGCUUUCCCGUGCCCACUGAAAGUGGCCGGACGAAGGCAGCUGGUUAAGUAGAGCCAGAAGGGAGAUGCCGCUCCUGGCGGCUGUGAAUCCGUGUGCAAAGGUAUGAAGAUGGCGCCCUGGAUUACUUGCUGGCCCCGAAGAUCUUGACUUGCGUCAGAUAGCAGGACUGGCAGCGGUGUCGGUGAGUCAUUAAAGAUGAGCACUGGUGAAACCGCAUGUGCGCAGGUCGAGGGAUACAGCCAUGCUCCAAGAAGCGCGAUGAACUGCAUGUAGAACCAAAAAGGGUUUAGCGGCGACUGCAUGGUUGCCGCUUUUCCGUGCCCACUCUUCGUUAAUUCGUUAAUGUGAACUCGUUUUCCUUGUCUGCCUGUCUGUAAAUAACUACAGUUCAAAUUGCUGCCAUCCAGCAUCUUUAGUGCCGGGAAUACCGAAGCAGAGAACAGUGCAGCGGCUUAGCAAGAGCCGAGAACGAACUAAAACACCAAGAAA
rnacentral:lncRNA from 1 species